GUUGCCUACGGGGCGCAGCAGGAAGGAAUGUUCGGCAAUGGACGAAAGGCUGACGGAGCAACGCCGCGUGAGUGAAGAAGGUUUUCGGAUCGUAAAACUCUGUUGGGAGAGAAGAACGUUGGUGAGAGUGGAAAGCUCAUCAAGUGACGGUAACUACCCAGAAAGGGACGGCUAACUACGUGCCAGCAGCCGCGGUAAUACGUAGGUCCCGAGCGUUGUCCGGAUUUAUUGGGCGUAAAGCGAG
rnacentral:rRNA from 1 species